rnacentral:rRNA from 1 species
UACGGGGGGAGCAAGCGUUGUUCGGAUUUACUGGGCGUAAAGGGCGCGUAGGCGGCCUGUGCAAGUCAGUUGUGAAAUCUCCGAGCUUAACUCGGAACGGUCAACUGAUACUGCUCGGCUAGAGUGCGGAAGAGGCAACUGGAAUUCUUGGUGUAGCGGUGAAAUGCGUAGAUAUCAAGAGGAACACCUGCGGCGAAGGCGGGUUGCUGGGCCGACACUGACGCUGAGGCGCGAAAGCUAGGGGAGCGAACGGG